CCAGUCGCCGCGGCCGGCGGAGCGGCCCGGGUGGGAGGCAGCGGGAGCGCGCGUGUGCGGGCAGUGGCGCGGGGAGUGUGCGCGAGCCGGCCGGGCGCCGCAGCCAACAGGCGGCCUGGGUGCCGCAGCGGGAGCGCCGCCGCCGGUGGGGUGGGGGGCAGAGCUAUAAAGAAGGCCCGGAGGAUUCCUGCGGAGCUGUGCUCAUUUUACAUCCGUGCGAACUGCUGUCAUCACUACUAUGUCCAAACCCAGAGGAUGAACUGGAAAAGAAGAGAGGGGGGAAAAUAAUAAAAAGAGGAAAUUGGUUUUCACAACACACUCAAAGCCUGAGUAACAGAGGAGAACUUUAAUUAUCUCCAGUCACAAAGAGAGACAGGAAAUUUGGACUUUUAAUUAGCCAUUUGGAGUGCAGUUGGAUAUUUUUUUAGCUAGAUAAUUUAAACGCGAAUAAUUCAAGUCUGACUAAAUGAAAGUCACAUAAUCAGAAUGCAGAUAAUUGAAUUUCUACUGCAUUCAUUAAUUCAGUGUGGAGGUGUGUGUGAAGACUACUAUGAUGAGCUGUCACAGCUCAAUAAAAUCUCAGUCAAUUAAUUUUUUCAUUAUCUUAGUAUUACAUCAACAAAAAGUGGAGUGUAUAUAUGUCUAUACACACGCAUAUGUGUACGAUGUGUUAUAUAAAUAUGUAUACGUUAAAUCAAAAUGCAAGGAAAUACCUUUCUGAAUCAUAA